rnacentral:rRNA from 1 species
CGAAGCCUUCAUAUCGCCUUGAAUACACCAGUUUAUGUCUGAUUUAGGAUGUUAAGUAGGGUUAGGCCUGGUUACUACUUGGAUGGGAGGACUCAAGAUAAUAUCCAGCUGGGGUGA